UGGGGAAUAUUGGACAAUGGGGGGAACCCUGAUCCAGCCAUGCCGCGUGUGUGAAGAAGGCCUUAUGGUUGUAAAGCACUUUAAGCGAGGAGGAGGGUACUGGUAUUAAUACUACCAGGUACUGGACGUUACUCGCAGAAUAAGCACCGGCUAACUCUGUGCCAGCAGCCGCGGUAAUACAGAGGGUGCGAGCGUUAAUCGGAUUUACUGGGCGUAAAGCGUGCGUAGGCGGCUAAUUGAGUCGGAUGUGAAAUCCCCGAGCUUAACUUGGGAAUUGCAUUCGAUACUGGUUAGAUAGAGUGUGGGAGAGGAUGGUAGAAUUCCAGGUGUAGCGGUGAAAUGCGUAGAGAUCUGGAGGAAUACCGAUGGCGAAGGCAGCCAUCUGGCCUAACACUGACGCUGAGGUACGAAAGCAUGGGGAGCAAACAGG
rnacentral:rRNA from 1 species